CUGAGUUCUAAGUUCUAAAUUCUAACACGCUAAUCCAAAAGCACACUUGAUAAUUGAUACUGUGACAGUAUGGAGAAGAAGAAGCAGAACGAGAUUUGCAGAAUGAAAGCGCCUUCCUCUGUUCAUUCUACUCCGCAGUAGCAAAGCCACAACAGUGUGAAUCCGUGACAAAACUCAGUGGGAGGAGAAGGUGAAGGUUUAAGAAAAGUAAUGAGUACUUGCUUGCUCGAGAUGCAUGCCAAGGUGCAAGUUUCUACAUUUGGCCAUGCAGUUUCUUGAAGCUGUUCACCAGACAAGGUUCAUUUUUUUAUAACCCUUGUAUAUAUACUAUCUUCCGGUUAGAUGUUCAUAUUGUCUCAAGUUACCAUGUUUUUGCAUUGUGUCUUCCUGAAACUGAAGUUGCAAUUAUCAUUUCAUUGUUUUGUGUCAGUGAAAAAUGUUGGUAUUGAUGUAAUAUUAAGCACACACUAUUGAAUAACUUACUUCAAAAAUUUCUAUUUUACUGAUUCAGUUGUUAAAAGCAUAAUACAAUAGACAAGAAAGCUUUCUAAAUCUGAAUAACAAAACAAGCAUCGAAGAGGAAUACAAAAGAAAUUCCAGCACUAAAUUAAUAACCAUCCAUACAAAAGGUUAACAAAUAGAAUGCAGACUUUCAAAGAAAGGCCUUAGUUCAACUUGAGGGA